GAGGUCUUCCAGGUCCAGCUGCAGUGUGAGAUACCCUACAAUCAGAGCAGUCAACCCUUCCUGUCUGCUUCCUGACAGGUGGAGCUGGGACUCAUUCCAGGGAACAGCUCACCUGUGAGUGACCCCCUUCUUCAUCAACUCUUCUUCAUCAACUCUGUUUGAAGAAACUUCGUUCUGUCCAGUGAAGAAGAAGAGGAAGAAGAAGA